GCCAACGUGGUGUAGUGGUUUCAGCAUUGGACUACGACUCUGUAGACCAGAGUUCGAAUCCCAGCUCUGCCA